GAAGCAGUCUUACUGGUGUCUUGUAUAAUGCCACAAAAACUACCCACUUUCUCCUGGAAAUACUUCAGCAAAUUCACCUUAUGAUCGUAUUUGCCUCUCUCACAGAAGGAAAAGGUAAGAAGCAGUGCUCUUGUCCUUAGUAUUGUGUGAAGAUCCAGCACUGGAAAACUGCCUAUGUGUUGUGAACAUUACUGAUGAUCCCAGAAUGCGGAGAUGGUCCAGCAUGGUGAUGGUGCAGUGUUGGUCAUCCCAGGAUGUCACAGUGGAACCAGACAACCCAAAGCAAAGUCCACCAAGAAGCCCACAGUGGGCAGCAGGCUUUUCUGUUUGCAGAGACAUCUACCUUCAGUUGACCAGAUGAACUGGGUCCUGGCCCAUGGAUAACACAAGACACAGCAUUCAAGGACAGGUUGUC